rnacentral:lncRNA from 1 species
GAGAGAGAGAGAGAGAAGCAGCAGAUGCUCCAUGGAGAGAAGGUUCCAGAAGCCCAAAUCCCUCUGAAACUUCAGGCAGAGAAAGGGUCAUUGCUGUCGCAUUUUUCCAGGGAGGUCUUGCUCAUGGUUUACUUCUGAGAUCCAUUGUAUAUAAAGUUGCGCCAUGAGGUUUGUCACCGUCAUUAUCCUCUGCUCUUUGUUCCUGGGAGUCAGUGGUGAUGGCUUGUUUUCAUUCUUCAAGGAAGCCAUACAAGGGACUUGGGACUUGUGCAGAGCCUAUCGGGACAACCUAAGAGCUAACCACCAAAACUCAGACCAAUACUUCUAUGCUCGUGGGAACUUCGAGGCCCAACAAAGGGGGUCUGGGGGCGUCUGGGCUGCUAAAAUAAUCAGCACUGGCAGGAAGUACUUCCAGGGCCUCAUGAACCGGUAUUAUUUUGGAAUCAGGGACCAUGGGUUGGAAAGCCUGCAGUCUACUCAGAAAGCCGAGGAAUGGGGCCGCAGCGGCAAAGACCCCAACCACUUCAGACCCGAGGGCCUUCCUGAGAAGUACUGAGCCCGCCACUCAGGUUGCACUCAGAGGGCUGGGCUGUGAGCCACAUACCUCUCUCCUUGAUGUCACUCAGGUUGGUGUCCACAAGAACCACCGAGAAGCUAGAGAUACCCCAAACAACGGCCCGGAAGCACGCAGGCCCCUCACACAACCCCACCAGAUCUGCUUUAGCCUUUAGCCACACCAACUUCUGCUAAGCAGGCCCGAGCCAGCAAAGUAUUGUCCACCAUGCCAGGCUUCUCUGCAAAGUGGAGUUUGAUUGGAGAUGAGCCCUGGGCACCCGUCCAUCAAUUUCCUCCUACCUCAUCAUCUUCUGGUCACAACCCGGUCUCUGUUUAUUGUACUGUCACUCCCAUGCUUUUCUGAGUACUGACGCAACUCUGCCUUAUCAGUCACGUCCUAUCCACUGUCUGACUGCAGGCCUUGUCCCCUGUGACCUCUUUUCAGAUAGGGAGCUCUAUGUUGAGGAUGCCUCAUCCUAACCUUAGGAACCCUAACUUAGAAACUGCACUGGGGACCAGGGAUAUAGCUCAGCUGGCAGGGUGCUUGCUUAGCAUACACAGAUCCC